UACGUGAAACUGCUUAGAGGUUAAGCCCGAUGAACCUGAAUAUCCAUUAUGGAAAAUUCAUCAUUAGAAUUAUGAUAUUUUAAAAAUAUUAUGAUAAUAGUGUGCAUUUUUUCCAUAUAAGGACAUUGUAAUCUAUUAGCAUACCAAAUUUAUCAUAAAAUAUGACUUAUAGUUUAUUCAAAUUAUUUUGCUUGCAUUUUAACAUAGAAUAAAUGUCAUUAAUUUGAUAAAGUGUUGAUAGAUUUAUAUGAAAUACAAUGCGUUAAUUUUUCGGAAUUAUAUAAUGGCAUGAUUAUCUAUGAUUUUUAUGUUUAUUAUAUGCAUUUGUAUGAUUAACAAUGCGAAAGAUUCAGGAUACCUUCGGGACCCGUCUUGAAACACGGACCAAGGAGUCUAACAUAUUUGCAAGUCAUUGGGAUUUAUAUAUAAACCUAAUGGCGUAAUUAACUUGACUUGUCUAAAUGGGAUUAGUUUUUAUACUAUUUUAUAGUUUAUUAAUUCAAUCCCGGGGCGUUCUAUAUAGUUAUGUAUAAUGGUAUUUAUUUAUUAUUUAUACCUCUAACUGGAACGUACCUUGAGCAUAUAUGCUGUGACCCGAAAGAUGGUGAACUAUACUUGAUCAGGUUGAAGUCA
rnacentral:rRNA from 1 species